GAAUUUUGGACAAUGGGGGCAACCCUGAUCCAGCCAUUCCGCGUGAGUGAAGAAGGCCUUCGGGUUGUAAAGCUCUUUCAGCUGGAAAGAAACGCUCUGGGUUAAUACCCUGGGGUAAUGACGGUACCAGCAGAAGAAGCACCGGCUAACUACGUGCCAGCAGCCGCGGUAAUACGUAGGGUGCGAGCGUUAAUCGGAAUUACUGGGCGUAAAGCGUGCGCAGGCGGAUUGUUAAGCAAGAUGUGAAAUCCCCGGGCUUAACCUGGGAAUGGCAUUUUGAACUGGCAGUCUAGAGUGCGUCAGAGGGGGGUGGAAUUCCACGUGUAGCAGUGAAAUGCGUAGAGAUGUGGAGGAACACCGAUGGCGAAGGCAGCCCCCUGGGAUGACACUGACGCUCAUGUACGAAAGCGUGGGUAGCAAACAG
rnacentral:rRNA from 1 species